rfam:Haemonchus placei strain MHpl1 genome assembly, scaffold: HPLM_scaffold0000716
GGCCCAAAUCCCAAGUAAGGUAGAUUAGUAAGGUCAGCUGAUCCUACUACUCUACUGUACUUCGAAACUGGGCCC